rnacentral:piRNA from 1 species
UAAAGGCCAAAGAGAUGACCCUGCUGACAA